AAUAGAUACCCCGGUAGUCCAUGCCGUAAACGAUGUCUACUAGCCGUUGGGGCCCUUGAGGCUUUAGUGGCGCAGCUAACGCGAUAAGUAGACCGCCUGGGGAGUACGGUCGCAAGACUAAAACUCAAAUGAAUUGACGGGGGCCCGCACAAGCGGUGGAGCAUGUGGUUUAAUUCGAUGCAACGCGAAGAACCUUACCUGGCCUUGACAUACAGAGAACUUUCCAGAGAUGGAUUGGUGCCUUCGGGAACUCUGAUACAGGUGCUGCAUGGCUGUCGUCAGCUCGUGUCGUGAGAUGUUGGGUUAAGUCCCGCAACGAGCGCAACCCUUUUCCUUAUUUGCCAGCACUUCGGGUGGGAACUUUAAGGAUACUGCCAGUGACAAACCGGAGGAAGGCGGGGACGACGUCAAGUCAUCAUGGCCCUUACGGCCAGGGCUACACACGUGCUACAAUGGUCGGUACAAAGGGUUGCUACUGCGCGAGCAGAUGCUAAUCUCAAAAAGCCGAUCGUAGUCCGGAUCGCAGU
rnacentral:rRNA from 1 species